UACGUAGGGGGCAAGCGUUGUCCGGAAUUAUUGGGCGUAAAGCGCGCGCAGGCGGUCCUUUAAGUCUGAUGUGAAAGCCCACGGCUCAACCGUGGAAGGUCAUUGGAAACUGGAGGACUUGAGUACAGAAGAGGAAAGCGGAAUUCCACGUGUAGCGGUGAAAUGCGUAGAGAUGUGGAGGAACACCAGUGGCGAAGGCGGCUUUCUGGUCUGUAACUGACGCUGAGGCGCGAAAGUGUGGGGAGCGAACAGG
rnacentral:rRNA from 1 species